CCUACGGGAGGCAGCAGUGAGGAAUAUUGGUCAAUGGGCGCGAGCCUGAACCAGCCAAGUCGCGUGAGGGAGGACGGCCCUACGGGUUGUAAACCUCUUUUGCCGGGGAGCAACGUGCGCCACGUGUGGCGUCACUGAGAGUACCCGGAGAAAAAGCAUCGGCUAACUCCGUGCCAGCAGCCGCGGUAAUACGUAGGAUGCGAGCGUUCUCCGGCUUUAUUGGUUUUAAAGGGUGCGUAGGCGGAUCGUUAAGUCAGUGGUCAAAUUGAGGGGCUCAACCCCUUCCCGCCAUUGAAACUGGCGGUCUGGAGUGAGAGAGAAGUAUGCGGAAUGCGUGGUGUAGCGGUGAAAUGCAUAGAUAUCACGCAGAACCCCGAUUGCGAAGGCAGCAUGCCGGCUUCCGACUGACGCUGAAGCACGAAAGCGUGGGGAUCGAACAGGAUUAGAUACCCCUGUAGUC
rnacentral:rRNA from 1 species